rnacentral:lncRNA from 1 species
GCAGUAACUAAAUUUUCUGAGUAAAACAGAUAACUUUAUCAACAUCUUCCCCCAUGCUUCCCUUUUUCCUUCCCUGACUUCCUUGUCAGUACUUGCACAGUCACUUGCCAGAUUAAUCACCCUCUAUUUUACGACAUGGGAUUGGCCUCAGCCGGUGCUUAGCAGCUGUGAGGCCAAGUCAAAUCAUGCACUCCUCUUAACCCAAGGCAGACCUGUCCACCACCCCUUGUUGGUGGAAAGCUACUCCCUCCUCCCUUUUUAACACGAGACCAGCACACUGUAAGGGUGCUGUGGGGCCUGCAAUGAUGGCUGUGAGCUGCAGGACUGAGCACAGGUUGGAGUCCUGGAGUUUUGUGUGCAUCUGAGGUGAGAGGACCACAGCCCCCUACCCCAC